AACUUUGCUGCCUUUGGUAAGAAAGACGGGGAGGAAGAUAUGGCAGGCUGACAUCUGCUUUUAUUUUAAACUGAAAUCUUCCUAACAGGAGAAAGUACCAAGGGAAACAUCAGGUAUGUGCUAGUUAUAAGCAAACAACAGUAAUACUGAAAGCUUCCUACUCACGUCAUUUGAAAUUAUGGAGGAAUUCAUUUUUCCUGCGAAGAAGAUAACUAUCCAGCAGAAUCUCAUA
rnacentral:lncRNA from 1 species